rnacentral:rRNA from 1 species
CUACCUCAUAGUAUAGUACUUUGGCAUCAAGGAACUAUUAAAGUCACAACGGCAAAAGAUGAGCAUGCGUCCCAUUAGCUAGUUGGUAAGGUAACGGCUUACCAAGGCUACGAUGGGUAGGGGUUCUGAGAGGGAGAUCCCCCCACACUGGUACUGAGACACGGACCAGACUCCUACGGGAGGCAGCAGUGAGGAAUAUUGGACAAUGGGCGAAAGCCUGAUCCAGCCAUGCCGCGUGCAGGAUGACGGUCCUAUGGAUUGUAAACUGCUUUUGUACAGGAAGAAACCCUUUCACGUGUGGAAGAUUGACGGUACUGUAAGAAUAAGGAUCGGCUAACUCCGUG